rnacentral:sRNA from 1 species
AAGUCAUAACAAGGUUUCCGUAGGUGAACCUGCGGAAGGAUCAUUAAUAAUGCCCUCUGGCUUCGGUCAGCUGGGUUCAAUGUGUGUCAUCUCUUCGGAGAUGGCCAUCCACACACACCGUGAACUGUGACUUCGGUCAUCACAAACUUUUAGUAAUGAAUGUAAAAAUCAUAACAAAAUAAAACUUUUAACAACGGAUCUCUUGGCUCUCGCAUCGAUGAAGAACGCAGCGAAAUGCGAUAAGUAAUGUGAAUUGCAGAAUUCAGUGAAUCAUCGAAUCUUUGAACGCACCUUGCGCCCUUUGGUAUUCCGAAGGGCAUGCCUGUUUGAGUGUCAUGAAACCUCACUCCACUUGGGUUUUUGCCUGAGUGGUAGUGUAUUGGGUGUUGCCUUGCCAAAGGCUCGCCUUAAAAGAAUAAGCACCUUGGAUGUAAUACGUUUCAUCCUUUCGGGUGGCUAAUAACCCCACAUAACUCAUGAUCUGGCCUCAAAUCAGGUAGGGCUACCCGCUGAACUUAAGCAUAUCAAUAAGCGGAGGAAAAGAAACUAACUAGGAUUCCCUUAGUAACGGCGAGUGAACCGGGAUGAGCUCAAAUUUGAAAUCUGGCGUCUUUCAGGCGUCCGAGUUGUAAUCUAUAGAGGCGUUUUCCGCGCCGGACCGCGUCCAAGUCUCUUGGAAUAGAGUAUCAAAGAGGGUGACAAUCCCGUACUUGACGCGACAACCGGUGCUCUGUGAUACGUUCUCAAC